rnacentral:rRNA from 1 species
UACGAAGGGUGCAAACGUUGCUCGGAAUUAUUGGGCGUAAAGCGCACGUAGGCGGCUAUCUAAGUCGGAUGUGAAAUCCCUCGGCUUAACCAAGGAAGUGCACCCGAAACUGGAUAGCUUGAGUACAGAAGAGGAUCGCGGAAUUCCCGGUGUAGAGGUGAAAUUCGUAGAUAUCGGGAGGAACACCAGUGGCGAAGGCGGCGAUCUGGGCUGAUACUGACGCUGAGGUGCGAAAGCCAGGGGAGCAAACGGG